rnacentral:rRNA from 1 species
GGUUAAGCGACUAAGCGUACACGGUGGAUGCCCUGGCAGUCAGAGGCGAUGAAGGGCGUGCUAAUCUGCGAUAAGCGCCGGUAAGGUGAUAUGAACCGUUAUAACCGGCGAUACCCGAAUGGGGAAACCCAGUGUGACUCGUCACACUAUCAUUAACUGAAUCCAUAGGUUAAUGAGGCGAACCGGGGGAACUGAAACAUCUAAGUACCCCGAGGAAAAGAAAUCAACCGAGAUUCCCCCAGUAGCGGCGAGCGAACGGGGAGGAGCCCAGAGCCUGAAUCAGCAUGUGUGUUAGUGGAAGCGUCUGGAAAGGCGCGCGAUACAGGGUGACAGCCCCGUACACAAAAGCGCAUGUGCUGUGAGCUCGAUGAGUAGGGCGGGACACGUGGUAUCCUGUCUGAAUAUGGGGGGACCAUCCUCCAAGGCUAAAUACUCCUGACUGACCGAUAGUGAACCAGUACCGUGAGGGAAAGGCGAAAAGAACCCCGGCGAGGGGAGUGAAA